AACUUUUCAACUUGAGAACUCUGCAUUAGUGAAACUAAAGAGAAAUUUUUUAGCCCAAAGCGGACCAAAGCUAUUUAGAAGAGUUGACCUUUCCAACAAUCGCAUUACAGAAAUUUCAUCCAAGCUUUAAUCGGACUAAAAUAUUGAAGCCACUUGUUGUUUUUUAUACUUAUGCUUAUUGAUAUGAAA